GAAAACCAAGUCGUGAUCCCAAGCAGCAGCAGUCCUACUUUUCUUCUACAAUACCGUGUCUACCGACCUUCCGAUCUGGCUUUCAAGGACUCAAUCUAGCUUAUGAAGUUGAGAAGAGAGAUAAAACACAAAUUACGGAUAAGUAUUGAUGAUGGGAGGAGGAAUGGAAAGAAGAAGAGAUACGUAAAAGAAGACUGGAAUGCAGCAGCAACAGAAAACUUACAACAUUAACUACUUUUGGUGGCGUCGUCUUAAUCCUGCGAUCAUUCUGGUAUUUGGUAUUGCUGUUCUUAGGGAGGAGUCAUCAAAGAUUUUCGGAAAAUAUUGAUUAGGAGCGUAUGGUGUGCACCUUCGUAUAGCGGAAGACGGCGAGGAUACAGGGAAAGCCAUGGUAGUGGCUUCAAAUUCUACUGAGGAUCUUCAGAUGGACUACAUAGAAGAUGAAGAAGACGUAAAAGAUGGGAAUGAUGAAGAAGAUGGAGAUGAUGUAUUUACACUUGCAUUUCGUGGGGAGACGAAUAUAGGAUGAUGCAUUUGGAGUUCAACCCUAUCAGAAAUUUGAGCGGCUUGCUUGAAUGUGAAGCUUUGUCUGGGAAAGAGCGGAAUGUUCCGAAUAACCGUCCUCGUGAUGGUUCUGCAAAGAAGCUGAAGCCAGAGGAUGAUUAUGUUAGCAAAGUUGAUGAACUGAUGGGGGAUGGUUAUGUGAAAAAAGUCGAAGGAGCUUAAGAGAAAGGGUGGAAAGAAGGGAUCCCAGAAACAAACUUAGCCCUGAAUUCACUAACAAAUGCUUGCUUCUCAUUUGGCAUCCAUGGAAUCUCCCUCUUUGGAAGAGGCUUGUAGCUCUGUCUAUAGACCAAGGAAAUACUGGCAUGGCUAUGUAUUGCCUCUCUAAGGCAAUAAAGGCCGAUCAUGAAGAUUUGGGUCUUAGAUUUGAUUGUGCAUCACUUCACGUUGAGCUUCAAGAUUAUCAGAAAGCUACGGAAUUAUGUAAUCAAAUAGUACGACUCAGUCCUGGAAAUAUUGAAGCACCAAGGAUGGCUGCAAAGAUGUUUAAUAGCUGUAGUCAGGUAGCGCAGUCCAUCAGCAUUCUGGAAGACUACAUCAAAGAGAGAAUAUAAGAUCCACAAUGGAGUGUGAUGUUUCUUCUAGCCACCAUACUUAAGGAAAAUAAUGAACAUUUUUAGGCACUUCAGCAGAUUGAGCAUGCACAUUGUACACUGCACUAAGGGCCAGUUGUCACUGAGUUAGUGUUAAAGCAGGAAUUCGUCAUGUUCAUUUUGGAAGUGUUUGCUGCUACUACAAAGUUUUUUCCAAGAUUGGAGAACAGGUUGGCAAAGCAUGUAAAGUUUCUGCAUCAUAUGAGGUGCACACGCACUAAUGUGUACCUCUCAUGAACAUUUUUGGGCAUCAACUCACCAAUUUCAGCCAACAUCAAGCAGCUGCAAGAGAGUAUCUUGAAGCACAUAAACUAAUGCCAGACAGAUCAAUCUCUGUGUUGGGGCUGCUUUGAUCGACUUAGCUCUUGGGUUUAGACUUCAAAACAGGCAUCAAUUUCUAGCACAAGGCUUUGCAUUUCUCUUUAGCAAUUUAAGAUUUUCCAAAAGUAGGCAGGAAGCCUUCUAUAAUGUUGGUCGGGCAUGUCAGCAUGUUGCUCUGGCUACUCAAGAAGUUUCUUAUUAUGAAAAGGUGUUGGGAAAUGCCGGAGAAGAAUUACCCAAUUCCAAAGCCUCAUGAUGAGGAUUAAAGUAUUCAAAGAAACUAAGAAUUCGGGUUACUGUGACUUUCGAAGAGAAGCCGCUUACAGUUUGCACUUGAUCUAUAAGAAGAGUGGUGCUCUGGAUCUAGCUAGGCAAGUUCUCAAAGAUCAUUGUGCUCUAAAUGUAUUAGGCCUAUAUAGUAGUACUCCUGGUAGAAGUUCAGGAUCUGCAGAUUACCUACCAGAUCAUCAUUAUCCUUCUUUGGAGUUCUUCAUAUUUAUUUCUAAUUCAGUUAUGGAAGAUUUGAAUUUCUCAUACUCGAGGUAAGUCCCUCAAAGUCUGUUACUUUUCCUUUUCUACUUGAGUUUCCUCAACCUUUUUGAUCAUGUCAAACCAAUUGAUUUGAUGCUGAACUGAUGGAAGUCAAUUUGUCAAUGAUGUGUAUUAGUAUACAUUAUUAAACAACUUCCACUCGGCUAAUUGCAGUAUGACCAUAAAAAAUACAAGGCAUAAUAAUUAGAUAUUAAGAUUUUCUAUAGUUGCACUUCUUUCUUUCUUUUUUGUUUCCUAAAUAAAUAAAAAUUUGUAUGGUGUUUCUGAGCA